UACGUAGGGUGCAAGCGUUGUCCGGAAUUAUUGGGCGUAAAGAGCUCGUAGGCGGUCUGUCGCGUCUGGUGUGAAAACUCAGGGCUUAACCCUGAGCUUGCAUCGGGUACGGGCAGACUAGAGUGCGGUAGGGGAGACUGGAAUUCCUGGUGUAGCGGUGAAAUGCGCAGAUAUCAGGAGGAACACCCGUAGCGAAGGCGGCACCUCUGGGCCGAAUACUGACACUGAGGGAGCGAAAGCGUGGGGAGCGAACAGG
rnacentral:rRNA from 1 species